UACGUAGGGGGCAAGCGUUGUCCGGAUUUAUUGGGCGUAAAGAGCGUGUAGGCGGCCGCACAGGUCCGUUGUGAAAACUGGAGGCUUAACCUUCAGACGUCGAUGGAAACCGUGCGGCUAGAGUCCGGAAGAGGAGAGUGGAAUUCCUGGUGUAGCGGUGAAAUGCGCAGAUAUCAGGAAGAACACCCGUGGCUAAGGCGGUUCUCUAGUACGGUACUGACGCUGAGACGCGAAAGCGUGGGGAGCGAACAGG
rnacentral:rRNA from 1 species